rnacentral:miRNA from 1 species
AGAGGGGGGGGGGCAGAGGGGGCAUAUUGCCUCGGGCAAAUAAUAAAUAAUAAAUUGUAAUAAAUAAUUAUUAUUUAUUAUAAUUUAUUAUUUGCCCGGGGCAAUAUGCCCCCUCUGCCCCCCCCCCUCUCGGCAGCCCUG